rnacentral:rRNA from 1 species
UACAGAGGUCCCAAGCGGUUGUUCGGAUUCAUUGGGCGUAAAGGGUGCGUAGGCGGCGCGGUAAGUCGGGUGUGAAAUCUCUGAGCUUAAACUCCAGAACUAGCCAUGGAUACUAGUUUGUCUUGAAUAAUUGUGGAGGUGAGCGGAAUAUGGUCAUGGUAGCGGUGAAAUGCUUAGAUAUGACAUAGAACACCAAUUGCGAAGGCAGCUCACGUACACAGUUAU